AUUGAACGCUGGCGGCAGGCUUAACACAUGCAAGUCGAGCGGUAACAGAGAGAAGCUUGCUUCUCUGCUGACGAGCGGCGGACGGGUGAGUAAUGCCUAGGAAUCUGCCUAGUAGUGGGGGAUAACUUGCCGAAAGGUAAGCUAAUACCGCAUACGUCCUACGGGAGAAAGGAGGGGACCUUCGGGCCUUUCGCUAUUAGAUGAGCCUAGGUCGGAUUAGUUAGUUGGAGAGGUAAUGGCUCACCAAGACCGCGAUCCGUAACUGGUCUGAGAGGAUGAUCAGUCAUACUGGGACUGAGACACGGUCCAGACUCCUACGGGAGGCAGCAGUGGGGAAUAUUGGACAAUGGGGGGAACCCUGAUCCAGCCAUGCCGCGUGUGUGAAGAAGGUCUUAGGAUUGUAAAGCACUUUAAGUUGGGAGGAAGAGCAGUUAACUAAUAUUUGACUGUUUUGACGUUACCGACAGAAUAAGCACCGGCUAACUUCGUGCCAGCCGCCGCCGUAA
rnacentral:rRNA from 1 species